rnacentral:rRNA from 1 species
UGGGGAAUUUUGUGCAAUGGGCGAAACCCUGACACAGCGACACCGCGUGAGCGAAGAAGCCCUUUGGGGUGUAAAGCUCUGUCGGCUGGAACGAAAAAAAUGACGGUACCAGCAGAGGAAGCAUCGGCUAACUACGUGCCAGCAGCCGCGGUAAGACGUAGGAUGCGAGCGUUGUCCGGAUUUAUUGGGCGUAAAGAGUUCGUAGGUGGUUUGUUAAGUCUGAUGUUAAAGACUGAGGCUCAACCUCGGAAAUGCAUUGGAUACCGGCAGACUGGAGUGCAGUAGAGGCAAGUGGAAUUCCCAGUGUAGCGGUGAAAUGCGUAGAUAUUGGGAAGAACACCAGUGGCGUAAGCGACUUGCUGGGCUGUAACUGACACUGAGGAACGAAAGCCAGGGGAGCGAAUGGG